ACACCUGUAAGCACGCAGCAAGAAUGGUCUUUAUUGAAAGUCAUGUUAAGUGGGAUGGACUUUAGAUAAACGGCGGCUAAUUCCCUAUUUGGAGCAUGCAACCAACGAGCCUCCAGCAGGCUCAUGGAGAGCGGAGCCCUGCUUGUCCGAACCGGGGGCAGGUUGAUCGGAUGCCUUUCAUCCCAGCAGCGCCGUUAGAUGUUUCCCAUUCAGGAUUAAUUGGUUGACCAAUGGCUCCCAAACAUGCGCGCCUCUCCAGCAGCGGUGGCCCCGGGGUCGGAGGGGUAAAUAAGAAAGAAGACCCCUGCUCUUCCUCCUCGUCGCUAUGGAUCCUGGAUGCGGGGAUGGUGGCCGUCUACUCGCCGAGGAUCGGGAAGAGGACGCGCGUGCUGAAUGGAAUGGUGGCCCGGUGGUUUGUGACCAUCGGCGCGGCGCUGAUGCUGAUGAUCCAGAGCUCCCUGGCCGCUGACGGAUUGUGGGAACGAGAGGGCAGCCAGCAUGGGGUGCUGGGACAGGGAGGAGCGGAGACACACUAACUCUAGGAAGUGGACACAGCACGGGAGUCAGG
rnacentral:lncRNA from 1 species